AUUGAACGCUGGCGGCAGGCCUAACACAUGCAAGUCGAGCGGAUGAAGGGAGCUUGCUCCUGGAUUCAGCGGCGGACGGGUGAGUAAUGCCUAGGAAUCUGCCUGGUAGUGGGGGAUAACGUCCGGAAACGGGCGCUAAUACCGCAUACGUCCUGAGGGAGAAAGUGGGGGAUCUUCGGACCUCACGCUAUCAGAUGAGCCUAGGUCGGAUUAGCUAGUUGGUGGGGUAAAGGCCUACCAAGGCGACGAUCCGUAACUGGUCUGAGAGGAUGAUCAGUCACACUGGAACUGAGACACGGUCCAGACUCCUACGGGAGGCAGCAGUGGGGAAUAUUGGACAAUGGGCGAAAGCCUGAUCCAGCCAUGCCGCGUGUAUGAAGAAGGUCUUCGGAUUGUAAAGCACUUUAAGUUGGGAGGAAGGGCAGUAAGUUAAUACCUUGCUGUUUUGACGUUACCAACAGAUUAAGCACCGGCUAACUUCGUG
rnacentral:rRNA from 1 species